CCUACGGGGGGCAGCAGUGGGGAAUAUUGGACAAUGGGGGCAACCCUGAUCCAGCCAUGCCGCGUGUGUGAAGAAGGCCCUCGGGUUGUAAAGCACUUUCAGUGAGGAAGAACGCCUGGUGGUUAAUACCCAUCAGGAAAGACAUCACUCACAGAAGAAGCACCGGCUAACUCCGUGCCAGCAGCCGCGGUAAUACGGAGGGUGCGAGCGUUAAUCGGAAUUACUGGGCGUAAAGCGCGCGUAGGUGGCUUGAUAAGCCGGUUGUGAAAGCCCCGGGCUCAACCUGGGAACGGCAUCCGGAACUGUCAAGCUAGAGUGCAGGAGAGGAAGGUAGAAUUCCCAGUGUAGCGGUGAAAUGCGUAGAGAUCGGGAGGAAUACCAGUGGCGAAGGCGGCCUUCUGGACUGACACUGACACUGAGGUGCGAAAGCGUGGGUAGCAAACAGGAUUAGAUACCCUGGUAGUC
rnacentral:rRNA from 1 species